UACGUAGGUGGCAAGCGUUGUCCGGAAUUAUUGGGCGUAAAGAGCUCGUAGGCGGUUUGUCGCGUCUGCUGUGAAAACCCGAGGCUCAACCUCGGGCCUGCAGUGGGUACGGGCAGACUAGAGUGCGGUAGGGGAGAUUGGAAUUCCUGGUGUAGCGGUGGAAUGCGCAGAUAUCAGGAGGAACACCAAUGGCGAAGGCAGAUCUCUGGGCCGUAACUGACGCUGAGGAGCGAAAGCAUGGGGAGCGAACAGG
rnacentral:rRNA from 1 species